GUGUGUGUGUGUGUGUGUGUGUCCCCCCGUUCGGGUGUGAUAUUGAUGGCUUUAUUGCACGGAAGAGAAGGGCGAUCCGUUGUUUGUCGCGACACAGGCAACAUCGUAACAUUCAGCGACCUCCUGUUUCUGACCUGCUUUUCUUGCUUCAUCCAAAUCAAUUUUGGAAACCGUCCCAAAAAUGUUUCAAAAGUCCGUUUUUAUCGUUUCUCAACAGUCGACUCGAGUGCCCUGGCAACGGUUUAAGUUAUAAAAUUGAAGCGGGGAGGAACGAUUGGUUCGUGUGAACCAAAGAAUAGGGAUGAUGUACUUGUACAGUCGAUUGCAGUUUAAUUUUAGCGCAAACUUCAUUUUGUAUACGUCUCGUCCCCCGAAAGUCUGGUCGACUAUCCUUGUUAAUAUUAAACUGUCGCCCUGACUCGUUCACCGCCCAUCCCAUAAGUCUGCGUAUACGCGGACCUGGUGAUGAUGGCCAUACCAUCACCGAAUUAGACUGCACGCACUGUGUGGGUGGUAUGUUUCAUUCAGCACGCGACCGCUGGGGAAAUCUGGAAAGCAGAUGAAGUUGUUCCACGCGUAAAGAACAAGGUAGACAGAUUCGAUUUUUGCGCAGUAAUGGCCGUCGAAGAUGGAGAUAUCGUCAUCGUCCCGAUGACUGAAAAAUGAGCCCAUGAGUCACACGCGACCCGAAUUACACGAACAAAUGAUGACAUGCAAACUAGUAUGCAAAGUAGCAGUACUACGAAGUUAUUGUUGUAGCUUGCCGAAGGCCCGCUCUCAUUAACGGUGUGGAUCUUACUGCCACAUUUGGUUUCAUUCAUGAUGGUGUUUAAUAAUCCUCGAACGAUAUCUUUGACGGUGCUCCAAGGGUUGGUGCACUGCUCAAACACUCGGACGAUGCACUUGUUACUGUCUUCAUGAAUCCUUUGCACAUAGCACCCCGUUAAAAAAAGAUGAGUCAUUUCCUUGCAGUAGAGUGAGGAAAGAAUGUCGCAGUUGAAAGCAAUCAAGGAUGUCCGUGUCGUGCGGUUCCUUUAGACACUCGGUGCCGCCCCCAGCAACGAACGCUAGUGAUGCAAAUGGGCGUAGUUCAGCGCGCCUGACAACGCGUAUCCAAGCGAUUGUAAAUCGUGAUCGCCCUGGACGGCCGUACAGCCUUUGAGUGCCACAAUGAACGACUGAAUGCAUUGCUCAAUGUCUGGCUCGUAAUGGGCGCAUCAUUCAUGUGCGUUGUCGUCCUAUUGCCGGACAGAAUGCGAAUCAGCAGGUCAUCGCUCUGCUUCUCGAUCUGAUCGGCGAAAAAAAUCCUCUCCAAACAGACGCCGGUCUGGGCCCAUUGAUCCUGCGACCAUGACACAGUAGCUAAGAGCCAUAAUCGAAUAAUGUAGUACCUUGACGCGGCGCACUGCCUUCGAUCCGUAGUUUUGCAUGCACCGACGUAGGAACGCAUCAACGUCAGAAUAACUUCCAAGCGGUUGCACGGAAGCGACCGAGUUAUUAUCCAACGUAUCACCAACGCCUAAUGUUAACCGAUUGCCCGUUGUUUGAUGGAGGAAACCACAAAACUGGAUACGUGCUGGCCUCUAGCGAUGCCACUAACAUCAUCCCACAAGCCAUUUGUUUUGCUCCAACCCAAAAGUUGGUUCAGUUGAUUGCAGUUAACUUUCAUUACUUGGUAAUGAAUUUCGUUAUCGAUUUCACGUCUAAAGUGAAAAGCAACAACAGCAACCAAAAAAAAAAAAAAUAAUGUUCUGACCGUGAUUUGCAGCCGAAGCGAAACUGUUGAAAAGUAGAAAGUUCAAUCCUAAUGGCACGCACAUUAAUAAUGAGCACGAGAUGCGUCCCAUGACGAUCGGACAGCGAAAACAGUCGACUAACUGACUCGCUUGGCACUCCGUUCCCGACUAGUAAUUGCGGCUUGACGUCAAUUGAAUUGUGCUGUGAUGGCACUAAUGCGGAUUUGUUGUUCCGUACCUUGGUGCGGUGGUGGCCACUUCCUACCGGAAGACGAACUUUGUAACGUCAGAGCUGCUCCAACGAUUCUUACAAAGAGGAUAUGGAGGAUAUUUUUCCGAACUAUAUCGGGUCUGCUUGCUACAGUUUCGAAAAAUAAGCAAUGCGGCGUUCUUACUUGCUUCUUGUUCGUGAAUGGGUAAAACCAGGAGUUACGGAUGCACGUCUUCCUGUUGAGUUUUUUUAGGGCAUUGUUGUUUAAUUGAUGGGGCGAAAGAGAAGGACAAAAUGAGUCUAGUUUUCCUUGAAACUUUGAGCAUCAAUAAGCGUCUGCAUGACAAUGUCUUAAUGUUUUGUUUUGCAACUGUUUUGAAUCCCAGGUCACACGAUCCUUGGGUUCCCAUGUUCCCUUUUUCGGAGUUCCGUUGUACCUUCAGAACAUCUUGCGCAUCCAUGGCCUUUACCUACACCGAAGUCCUUCACCAAAAGAGGCUUUGAAAUCAUUGGCUUUGGGCAGUGCCCUUCGUUUUAAGUAUCUUGACAUGCUGCUCUUACUGGACGCCAAGACGAACAGAGUCCCCACGAUUGAUGCAGCUAGGUGCAGACGCCAAUCUAAAUAUUUCCAUGUACGUUAGAUGGUCAGCCUGAUGAAUGAGUUUGCAUCGAGGCAAAGUUUUAUUUGGUUUUUAAAAACACACUUUCUAGUGCUCCAAAGUCCCAGCUGCAAGGGACGUGUCCAGUCCUUGUCGGAUUAUUUCUUACCAAAAUGCGGAAAAUCUUUCUAGAAAGCGACUCGACGUAGCUAGUGGCCCCAUUUGCUAAGGUGUCAGUUUCACCUUGCUCUUUUGGUUUUCUAUCUUAGUCUGCUAUUGGUUUUUCUAUUGUUGUUGUUCACCAGAAUCCAAAUGCUGCACUUCUUUUGUGUUACAUUUCUCACAUGUUCCAUAUUAUUUCGGACGAAGGUAAUUUUUCCCGGCUUGACGAAUCGAUAUCAAACAGCUUGAAGCCAAGCGUGACACCUGUCUUCGCUGAAGGGUGUUUCUCGGAUAGCAAACAACAAGUAACUCGCUGAAUAGGAACAGUUUUGAACUUUGAAAUUUAAUCUAACUUAGACCGUACUUCAAUAUUAUUACAAAUGCGAAAAGAUUGCCUUUAAAUUACGAAGAAGUGCUGAAUGUGGCACAUGUACGAAUCGUGAAUUAAAAGGAGAGCGUCGACAUGUGACGCUGAAACUCGCUCACUUCAUUGACGUUAUGGUGAACAGUCUACAAAGCGUAUUAUUAAUUUACCGAAGACCACGUUACAAUAUUACUACAGGUGAACACAGGUAAUCUUUAAACUACGAGGAAAAAUAGAGAAAAAUGUAGAAUGGCUCCUGGCUCGACGGUUGAAUGAAAUGAAUCAAAUUACUAUGUCUCUUAUUUACAAUUUUUCUUUUAGCUCCGAGUCUAAUUCAAAUGCGUAGAAUAUGCAUAGAAUAGUACUAAGUGUUUCCCGUACUUUAAUUUUUAAAAACUUGUACUGCCAUUAGGGACAAAUCUCCCUCCCGUAAUUACGACAUAAGCUCAAAAAUUAAACGCUGGUU